GUUGGCGGCGUGGAUUAGGCAUGCAAGUCGAACGGGCCGCAAGGCCAGUGGCGGAAGGGUGAGUAAGGCGACGGUAACCAACCCCAUGGUUGGGUAUAGCCGCGGGAAACUGCGGGUAAUCCCCAGCGACGUCCGCGUCGGGCAUCCGAUGCGGACCAAAGUCCUGGCGCCGUGGGACGGGCCGUCGUGGUAUUAGGUCGUUGGCGGGGUAACGGCCCACCAAGCCUAUGAUGCCUACCGGGCGUGCGAGCGUGGCCCGGCACACUGGGACUGAGACACUGCCCAGACUCCUACGGGAGGCUGCAGUCGAGAAUCUUCGGCAAUGGGCGCAAGCCUGACCGAGCGACGCCGCGUGGAGGACGAAGGCCUUCGGGUUGUAAACUCCUGUCGAGGGGGAGGAAGGUCGGGCGACCGGCUUGACCGAUCCCUGGAGGAAGCACGGGCUAAGUUCGUGCCAUCAGCCGCGGUAAGACGAACCGUGCGAACGUUAUUCGGAAUCACUGGGCUUAAAGCGCGUGUAGGCGGAUGGGGACGUCGGUUGUUGAAAGCCCCCGGCUCAACCGGGGAAUGGGCACCU
rnacentral:rRNA from 1 species